AUGACGACAUGCUUGGUAUCGAGCGCUGGCAGAGGAGACUCGCACUGGAUUCCCAAGUCCUCCCAGUCAGGGUUCAACAUUGAACACAGGGCACUUACCGUGGACUUAAGGCUCACAUUGGUUUCCUUUGUUCUUAUUUUAAAAGAUGUCCAGUGUGAGGUGCAAUUGUUGGAGUCUGGAGGAGGCUUAAUGCAGCCUGGAAAGUCCCUAAACCUCUCCUGUGCAGCCUCUGGAUUCACCUUCAGUAGCUACUGGGUGAACUGGGUUCGCCAGGCUCCAGGGAAGGGGCUGGAGUGGGUCGCAUAUAUUAAUCCAGAUGGUAGCACCUCCUAUGCGGACUCUGUGAAGGGUCGGUUCACAAUCUCCAAAGACAACGCCAAGAACACUCUGUACCUGGAAGUGAACAAUCUGAAGUCUGAGGACACAGUCAUGUAUUACUGUGCAAGAUACACAGUGAGUGAAUGCUACUGUGAGCUCAAACAAAAACACCUUUUGUGGGGAACACAGAACCAGCAGGGAGCGCUGAGAGCAUUUAGAGAUCUAGGUCACAAAAGAGCCUGCUCAGAGAAGCAUGGAAGCCUGGACUUCUCUGUGUCUCCACUGCCUCUUUAUACCACACUUUAG